UACGUAGGGGGCGAGCGUUGUCCGGAUUUACUGGGCGUAAAGCGCGUGUAGGCGGCUCAUCAAGUCCGGGGUGAAAGGCGGGGGCUCAACCCCCGAACUGCGCUGGAAACUGGUGAGCUUGAGUGUCGGAGAGGGGAGUGGAAUUCUCGGUGUAGCGGUGAAAUGCGUAGAGAUCGAGAGGAACACCCGUGGCGAAGGCGGCUCCCUGGCCGAACACUGACGCUGAGACGCGAAAGCGCGGGGAGCGAACGGG
rnacentral:rRNA from 2 species